GAGUUUGAUCCUGGCUCAGACGAACGCUGGCGGCGUGCUUUAACACAUGCAAGUCGAACGCGAACGGGACUUCGGUUCCUAGUAGAGUGGCGCACGGGUGAGUAACGCGUAGAUAACCUAUCUUUAUGUCUGGGAUAACACGCCGAAAGGGGUACUAAUACCGGAUAUUCUUGCAUUUCAUAAGUAUUGCAAGGAAAGGUGGCCUCUGAUUCAAGCUACUGCAUAGAGAGGGGUCUGCGUACCAUUAGCUAGUAGGUGGGGUAAUGGCCUACCUAGGCAACGAUGGUUAGCGGGUCUGAGAGGAUGAUCCGCCACACUGGCACUGAAACACGGGUCAGACUCCUACGGGAGGCAGCAGUGAGGAAUAUUGCGCAAUGGGGGCAACCCUGACGCAGCGACGCCGCGUGAGUGAGGAAGGCCUUCGGGUCGUAAAGCUCUGUCAAGAGGGAAGAAGUGCAUGGUAGCUAAUACCUGCCAUAUUUGACGGUACCUCUAAAGGAAGCACCGGCUAACUCCGUGCCAGCAGCCGCGGUAAUACGGA
rnacentral:rRNA from 1 species